rnacentral:rRNA from 1 species
GAUGAACGCUGGCGGCGUGCCUAAUACAUGCAAGUCGAGCGAACAGACGAGGAGCUUGCUCCUCUGACGUUAGCGGCGGACGGGUGAGUAACACGUGGAUAACCUACCUAUAAGACUGGGAUAACUUCGGGAAACCGGAGCUAAUACCGGAUAAUAUAUUGAACCGCAUGGUUCAAUAGUGAAAGACGGUUUUGCUGUCACUUAUAGAUGGAUCCGCGCCGCAUUAGCUAGUUGGUAAGGUAACGGCUUACCAAGGCAACGAUGCGUAGCCGACCUGGGAGGGUGAUCGGACACACUGGAACCGGAACACGGUCCAGACUCCUACGGGAGGCAGCAGUAGGGAAUCUUCCGCAAGGGGCGAAGGCCUGACGGAGCAACGCCGCGUGAGUGAUGAAGGUCUUCGGAUCGUAAAACUCUGUUAUUAGGGAAGAACAAAUGUGUAAGUACCUAUGCACGUCUUGACGGUACCUAAUCAGAAAGCCAGGGCUAACUACGUG